GAUGAACGCUGGCGGCGUGCCUAAUACAUGCAAGUCGAGCGAACAGACGAGGAGCUUGCUCCUCUGACGUUAGCGGCGGACGGGUGAGUAACACGUGGAUAACCUACCUAUAAGACUGGGAUAACUUCGGGAAACCGGAGCUAAUACCGGAUAAUAUAUUGAACCGCAUGGUUCAAUAGUGAAAGACGGUUUUGCUGUCACUUAUAGAUGGAUCCGCGCCGCAUUAGCUAGUUGGUAAGGUAACGGCCUACCAAGGCGACGAUGCGUAGCCGACCUGAGAGGGUGAUCGGCCACACUGGAACUGAGACACGGUCCAGACUCCUACGGGAGGCAGCAGUAGGGAAUCUUCCGCAAUGGGCGAAAGCCUGACGGAGCAACGCCGCGUGGGUGAUGAAGGUCUUCGGAUCGUAAAACUCUGUUAUUAGGGAAGAACAAAUGUGUAAGUAACUAUGCACGUCUUGACGGUACCUAAUCAGAAAGCCACGGCUAACUACGUG
rnacentral:rRNA from 1 species